rnacentral:lncRNA from 1 species
CGCAUGCAUUUAUUGGCUUUGUUACGGGCUUAUCAGAAAAAUUUAUUUUUACAAGAGGUGUUUUGGCGUCAAAAGUCACACAUCACUUGGCUAAAGUAAAGACAUGCUAACAUAAAUUUUUUAAAAGAGAUGGCAUAAUAGAAUCCAUUUCUUGAAUAAUACCCAAGGAGAUCGGGUAGAAGACAUGAAAGCAAUUAAAUCCUUACUGCUUCAUCACUUCCAAGCUCGGUAGGUACUAGAUCCAAGUGUGUAGGAAUUUGAAUGGCCUAUUAUGUACACUUAGAUGAUAGCCGAACAGAAUGAAUCUCCUAUUAAAGCUGUCA